CGACUCUCGGCAACGGAUAUCUWGG
rnacentral:rRNA from 1 species